ACCUCGGAUCAGGUAGGAAUACCCGCUGAACUUAAGCAUAUCAAUAAGCGGAGGAAAAGAAACCAACAGGGAUUGCCCUAGUAACGGCGAGUGAAGCGGCAACAGCUCAAAUUUGAAAUCUGGCCCUCGGGUCCGAAUUGUAAUUUGUAGAGGAUGCUUUUGGUGAGGUACCUUCCGAGUUCCCUGGAACGGGACGCCAUAGAGGGUGAGAGCCCCGUCUGGUUGGAUACCGAUCCUCUGUAAAGCUCCUUCGACGAGUCGAGUAGUUUGGGAAUGCUGCUCUAAAUGGGAGGUAUAUGUCUUCUAAAGCUAAAUAUUGGCCAGAGACCGAUAGCGCACAAGUAGAGUGAUCGAAAGAUGAAAAGCACUUUGAAAAGAGAGUUAAAAAGUACGUGAAAUUGUUGAAAGGGAAGCGCUCAUGACCAGACUUGGGCUUGGUUGNAUCAUCCAGGGUUCUCCCUGGUGCACUCUUCCAGCCCAGGCCAGCAUCAGUUCGCUGUGGGGGAUAAAGGCUUUGGGAAUGUGGCUCCUCCGGGAGUGUUAUAGCCCAUUGUGUAAUNCCCUGUGGUGGA
rnacentral:rRNA from 1 species